GGGCCAAAGAUCCUUUGUUUGUAUGUUAUCAUCACUAUGAUCUUCAGUUUUCCAUACACUGUGAUCUUCAGUUUUUCAUUGCGUGUUUUUUCUGCAGUUUGCUUGGUGUGUGGACAGGGCCAAAGGACAAGAUGCUUCAAUCCGGCGAGGACAGAGCCAAAUGACCAAAGUUUGUUCAUCUGUUGCCAAGUUUGGUACCAUCCCGUGGGGAGGGCCAGGGACAAGCUGCUCCGAUCCGGCGAGGAUGCCCACCAUCUAUUGUUAAGGGCGUCCGUGGAAGGCCCAGUCCUGACUCUCCAGUGAGCCGGCAUUUGAUCGCUAUUGAAGGAGCUACAUGUAGAAGAAGAAAAUACUUGUAGAGCUUGUAACUGAUUCCCAUAGUUGUAGAGCUUGUAUCAGCUAAGCUUGUAUUACGUGUAACUUGUAGAACUUGUAAAUGC